AUCGCUGUUCGCUUACGCGAAGGGAGGAAAGUCCGGGCAACAAAGGGCAGUGCACCUCUAGAAACAGAGGGUGCCUUGGUAGGAAUACCUCGGCAACAGAAAGGGUAGCAGAAAAUAACCACCAGGACUUUAGUCUUGGCCAGGGUGAAAAAGUGAGGUAAGAGCUCACACGCUCGGAUGGUAACAUUCGUUUGGUACAAACCUUGCACGUUGUAAUACCAAGUAAACUAUAGGUUGAGGGCGGCUCGUUCGAUUCUAAUGUAUUAGAAGCUAUAGAGGGUAGGUAGCGUAGAUAAAUGAUAGGCUCUAUUUGUUUCGGCAGAUUAGACAGAACCCGGCUUAUAGUUUUGC
rnacentral:RNase_P_RNA from 1 species